GCUGCGUGUUUCUGACCAUGCUGCUGUGUGUAUCAACAUGCCAUCAGCAUGUAUACGCAUUACACGUGUGUUUGUGUGUAUGCCUGCCGGAAAACCCUGCUCAGCCCCACUCCUGGCUGGACCUGCGGGCACGGAGCUGCAGCAGCCUUCUAUCAGGCUGCCAGAUUUAGCAACUCGCUAGCAGGCUAUCAUCAGCUAUGAAAUUGUCUGCCAAGGCAGGACUUUUUUUUUUUUUUUUUUUUUUUUCUCCAAGUUUAGGCUUUUGAGAGGAAAGGAGCUGUACCUGCGCUUGACACCCGGAGAGAUACCAAACAAGCACGUGAAGAAAAGUGGCUUUGACUCUCUGGAAUCCCCCUGCUGCCUGCCUGCUCUGUUGUGGAUGACAGCUCCGUGCGCUUGCCAUACUUUCCUAGGCACUCUCAGAAGUGGAUGGAAACUAUGAAGAUUCCUUCUUGCUGUUCUCAUUGCCCUAGAGCACACCAGCCUCCUGUCUGACCUCCGUCUGCCCCUGAAGAUGCUCAGAAACAACGGGGAUUUAGCAAAGAGGUUUAGGGAGCAACAAACCCAAAUACAGGGGCUGUCCCACGGCAGUGCUGGGAGUGCAGGGGUUCAGAGAGCGGUGCCACAAGUUCUCCCCACUCACCUGGACUCCAGGUAUCAGAUUUGGAGAAAACCUGCAUCCCUGGGCACAGCAGCAGCGUGGGCUUCUCGGCACCUCUGCGUGAAUUGUGCACAAGGGUAUCACAAGCUCUGAAAUUACACAGCGAGUGAAGGAUGCUUUUCCUUUCUGCAGGCAUUUUUCAGGGUUGCAAUGAAUCCUUCAUCUUGCCCCCACAGCCGUGCAGACUGCUCUGUAGAUACAAGGAAGGGAUAGCUGGCCUUAGCUUUACACAUUUUUCUGUAACCAUCUGCAACGCAUUGUAUCUCAGCUGCUUUGCAUUUGCUGUACAUGCUCGGAACGGAGCUGAAGAGGUGUCGAGGCAAUGUUGUCUCACUGCACUGAGUGUCUGGGUGAUAAAACAGCAGAUGUAGCUCAGCGGUGGUAAGCACAAAGAAAUGCACACGUGAAAAAAAAAUAACCCCAAAUAUCCGUGCGUAGAGUCUGGUUCGAGCUGCUGCUUUUGCUGCAAGAGAUCAAAACAGACAGCUGAAAUAUCUGUGUGGGGCUAGGGAGUCAUCAGAAAGGUGAACCGAGUGCUAAGAAUUAGGAACUCUCCCCUCAGAUGAAGGAGAGAACCCCAAAGUCACAGGACCCCAUAACUCACAUGCUCAGAGAUCUUCUGAGGCCCCCAGCCACACCGCUCUUGCCUAUGCCUGCUAAAUUCAAGUUUUAGUAGGAUCAGCAUUUUAAAGAAAACUUUUGGGGGGUAAAAUUUAGAAAAGAGAGAGAAUGGCAAUAAAGAAUGGAAUGGCUUUCGUAUCGGAAAUAGAGAAAACCACAUCAGCUUGGAAAAAGAUAGCUGAAGGGAAACACAAUUAAAAUCUGCAAAACAAUGAUGGAGAGAUGGUUAAAAAACACAUUUCCUUUACUGCCUCUCAUAACAAAAGGGCAUUUAGAAAAACCAUCAGGAAGCAGGCUUGAAAUUGUUUUUACACGGUGAAGAAUUACCAUGGCAAGGCACAUUGUGGAAAGCAAAUCCACAAAAGAGAUAAGAAAAGAGACGAGACAAAUUCUCAGAGGACAGGGCCACUGAUAGCUACUAGGUACUGGAGUCUGGGUACGACCAGAGUUCCAGAAGUCUCUAACUCACCAGUUGCUGGGAAAUUAUAAGGUAAAUAGGAGAAGAACACACGGUCUAUUUUUACACUGUUUCACUAAGCAUCCAGGCUUGGCUGCUGAGACAAGAUACAGAGCUAGAUGGAUCCAACUUUGUUUUUAUAUUCUAAAAAAGUAACAGAAACAAUCAAGGGUAUGCUAAUGCUGAUACAGUCAACAUUACUUUGACUUGCUUUAUCCGCUCUAAUCUCUGGACUCAACCAUCCAUAAGAAAUCAUAAUCCAUAUCUGGCCAAAGAGUUUGGGAUUAUCCCAGUGAGCAGAAAUGUAAAAGGACCAUUCACUUCUUGAAAACCUCUUGAUUUUGAGACAUUACUUCCUAGCAUUGAUGUUCUGGUGGUCAGACGGGGCCAAAGACGACCACUUACACUGCUUCAGUUGUGCUCCAAGCCACUGUGAUUGCCGCAGUACAUUUGGGAGGCCAUUUUUGCUCACUGAUUAAAUUUGUAGAUAAGAAGCAGGUGCAAACCGAAGAUAACAAGUGGCUCAGGAUUUGGAGGAGAUGGUCCAAGCCUGAGCCGUGAGAUAUCAGUAACAAAACUCCCACUCAGUUCUGCGGGGGCAGGACUGCAGCGCUGCUGGCAAAUCUUGCGAGUGGCAGCUGUUUCAUCACCUCCUUUGGUAUUCUUUCCAUAAUUUCAUCUUCCUCCAGGUUUUGGCACUCCGCAACUGCUCGGGUUGGGGGAAGAUGCCCACGGCAUUUCGGAAGCACAGGGUGCCCACGGAGGCUGUAUGUCCUGAAUAGCACCGGGGCCCAAGAGGGUGAGCAGUGAGAUUCCAGGAAGGAAGCUCUCCCCACUGCUCUCACUCUUAUUUUUGCAGCUCUACUUUUCCAGUCUAAAUAACAGUAUUUGGUGACCUUUCCUGAUAGAAAAUGCUUGCAAAAGGACUAUUAAAAACCCCCAAAUUAUUGCCGCUCUUGUUAUUAUUUAAUGUGAUGGCUUAUUUACUGCAAAAAGUGGAAUUCUGGGGUUUUCUUCCCACUCAACAAUAAUGUCUGCUUGCACACAAAAGCAUUUCCAAAGUACUGGCUUAGGUGUUCCUGUUUUUCCUGCAUGCGGAUCAGCUUGCUUUCAUAACUGUAGAGACUCCUGUAUCAAUACAAGGAAAACAAAUGUGGGGUAAACUUCAUUCCAAUGAAAAUAUUCUUCCUAAUAUGAAAAUACGAGGAUAGAGAAUAAAACUUGAGACUGGUUACUGUGAACAAGAGGCAAUCAAGAGGUAUCAGGACAAGAAAAUACAAGGAAAGCGUACGACAUAAAAUGUGGGACAGAAGAAGCACGAUGGGUGCUCUUCCUAUUCAGAAUAGUAAAACAAGACCAAGGAAACACAUCUAAAUGGAGACAAAGGAAGGUAUCCUAUGAGGUGUAUUCUUAG